GGCGGAGUCGACACGACUUCUCGACCGCUUGCAAGUUCUUCAAUGGGCACAAGUUGACCCUGGUAGAAGUCCUUGUCGACAUCGAACUUUCCCUCGUCCAAGGGAAUGUUGUAGAAGAAGGUCGCUUGUUGAAGAGCCUUUCGGAAGCCGACUUCAUACUGGUCCAAAACGUUAUCCUGACGAUCUCCAGGUCCUUUAGCAACUUCUCUACCUUCUCUUCAGACCGGUAGUUUGAGAGGGUCACAUCUGAAAGGUUCUCUUUAAGACAUCAAAUGUGUGCAUCCGCCUUCACGACCAACUCUUUACCCACCCUCUCGACAUCGGCGCACAAGUUCUUCCAAUGAUUAAUCUUGGCUUCUAGGUUUUGAUUCUUAUCCAAGAGAUUAUUGUUUUCACUAAGGCCGACUGGAGGUUGGUGGUCGACUCCUCCAACUGUGCG
rnacentral:lncRNA from 1 species